rnacentral:misc_RNA from 1 species
GGUUGGAUCAUUAUCGAAAUUAUAAUCCAAUCUUUUUUUCUCAUAACUUCUGUUAAAAGAAGGCUAUGAGAUUGAAGGAAACAUCAUGUGAACUUGUUUAAUUGUCUCUGGUGGGUUAAAACGAUAAAGUACUUUGAAAAAAUUACUUUACCCGGAAUGUGUGUGGGUUGGUGUUUGUGGGUAAAUUAUAUUUAUCCAUUCCCACCCCUCCACCCCCAUUUACCCACUAUUUUUUUGUAUAUCAAAACCUGUUCUGUUUAACCUGGACCGAAUUUUUAAAAUGUUUUUUUCCUUUAAAAGAAAAUAACAAAUCUAAAAAAAAAAACAACUUUUGACAACGGAUCUCUAGGCUCUCGCAACGAUGAAGAACGCAGCGAAAUGCGAUACGUAAUGUGAAUUGCAGAAUUCCGUGAAUCAUCAAAUCUUUGAACGCACAUUGCGCUCUCUGGUAUUCCGGGGAGCAUGUCUGUUUGAGAAUCAGUUUAAUUAUCAAACUCUUUUGUUAUUUUUUUUUUUAAAAAAUCUUUCAAAGGAAGUUGAAUUUGGAUUUUUUCAAGUUUCUUUUGGGAAACUUGAUGAUCUUAAUAAUAGUUUUAAAGAUUUUCGGUUUUCAAGACAAUGGACAAGUUGUCUUUUUUUUUGUUUUGUUUUGGAAAGAAUGCCAAGAUAACCGAAAGCAUGAUUAAAUGUGUAUAUGAGAAUUCACUUUUUUGUAUAUAUAAUUUUGCUGAUAACGUUAUUUUAUCUUUUUUCCUGAAUAUAUAAAAGAAAGCAUUGCCCAAUUUAUAUUGUUUUGAAAAGGUAUAUCGAAAGAUAUAUUGUCAUUUUAUUAUGAACCAGAAAUUUUUAACCAAUUAAACACGAGAUAAAUGGUUUUUUAUUCAUUUAUUUUAAGACUUGAUCUCAAAUCAGGCAAGAUUACCCGCUGAACUUAAGCAUAUCAAUAAGCGGAGGAAAAGAAACUAACAAGGAUUCCCCUAGUAACGGCGAGUGAAGCGGGAACAGCUCAAAUUUGAAAUCUCUUAGGCCUUGUUUGCUUAAGCGAGUUGUAAUUUAUAGAAGUGUUUUCCGGAGGCUAGAUGGGUCCAAGUCCCUUGGAAUAGGGCAUCAGAGAGGGUGAGAAUCCCGUCCUUGGCCUGUUUUUAGUCUUCAAUGUGAUACACUUUCAAAGAGUCGGGUUGUUUGGGAAUGCAGCCCUAAAUGGGUGGUAAAUACCAUCUAAAGCUAAAUAUUGGCGAGAGACCGAUAGCGAACAAGUACCGUGAGGGAAAGAUGAAAAGAACUUUGAAAAGAGAGUUAAAUAGUACGUGAAAUUGUCAAAAGGGAAACGUUUGAAACCAGUCUUGUUGGCAGAAUCUCAACUGGUCUCACGAUCAGCUCAUGUUUCUGUUUUACAGGUCAACAUCGGUUUUUAUCCAAAGUACAAAGCUUGUUGAAGGUGACCUACCACUUUGUGAGAGGUGUUAUAGCUUCAAGUUUAUGCUCUUGGCAAAGACCGAGGAUAGCAGCGCAGUCUUUGGGGAACUGUUCGCUAGUUGAGAUGCGGUUAUAGACAACUUGUCGACUAUGAUCGUACAUCGAGGCUAAUCGGAUGGUGUACCACAACUUGUGCUUAGGAUGUUGACAUAAUGGUUUUAAGCGACCCGUCUUGAAACACGGACCAAGGAGUCUAACACAUAUGCGAGUAUUUGGGUGGCAAACCCGGAAUGCGCAAUAAAAGUGUUAAGGUGGGAUCUUUAUUGAGCACCAUCGACCGGUCUUGAAGUUUACGGAUAGAUCUGAGUAAGAGCAUAUAUGUUAGGACCCGAAAGAUGGUGAACUAUGCCUGAAUAGGGUGAAGCCAGAGGAAACUCUGGUGGAAGCUCGUAGCGAUUCUGACGUGCAAAUCGAUCGUCAAAUUUGGGUAUAGGGGCGAAAGACUAAUCGAACCAUCUAGUAGCUGGUUCCCUC